rnacentral:tRNA from 1 species
GGCUCCGUAGCUCAGUUGAUUAGAGCGCUGCUCUCAUGAGGCAGAGGUCGGGAGUUUGAAUCUCCCCGGAGCCA